CUCGUAGGUGGCCAACUAAGUCAUACGUGAAAUCCCUCGGCGUUAACCGGGGAACUGCGUCUGAUACUGGAUGGCUUGAGGUUGGGAGAGGGAUGCGGAAUUCCAGGUGUAGCGGUGAAAUGCGUAGAUAUCUGGAGGAACACCGGUGGCGAAGGCGGCAUCCUGGACCAAUUCUGACACUGAGGAGCGAAAGCCAGGGAGCAAACG
rnacentral:rRNA from 1 species